ACGGAACCCCCGAUCGCCUUAUCGCAGCAAGUAAUCCUUUUGAUCUAUCUGAUAUAAUGCAAAUAUUGUCUUCUCUGACAACGUGCCUCUACAGAUUUGUGAAGAAAAAUUUCCAAGACUCGAAGCACUCACGCUCCACGAUGGCGAAAGAGAUCGAAGUACAUUUCAGUUACAGUCUUGUGCAACAGCAAUCAGGAGUAUUUGCAUGUAUUUUCCAUACAACCAUGUCCCGUCCACCUGCACCAUCGACUUACAGUGAGGGAAGGCCCUAACACACGGCUUGAACGUCCAAAAAAAUUGGUGAAAAACUCGUUUCCCUGAUUGUAUCUCCCCAUCCGGGCCUUUAUACGGCAAUGUUUGCAAAUUAGUCACUGUCCCAAGCACAUACUCCUACAUCCCGGCUAUCCACCCUUGAAGCUCGUUGUAUGAUGCAUCCCAGUCACCAUACAACUCUCGUAUCGCCAUUUGCUUUGCCCACCAUGCCUUUCGGUACGACACUUUAUACUUGAAUCGAGCUUGCAUGUCCAUAAUAAGGAUCGACACCUGAAUGGUGGGCGACUGUUUCAACAAAAGAAUGAUGCAGUUGUAUAUAGUUUUUGCAUCUAAC
rnacentral:lncRNA from 1 species